rnacentral:rRNA from 1 species
UACGUAGGGUGCGAGCGUUGUCCGGAAUUCUGGGCGUAAAGGGCGCGUAGGCGGCCUUCUAAGUCAGACGUGAAAUCCCCCGGCUUAACCUGGGAACUGCGUCUGAUACUGGAGGGCUCGAGUGCGGGAGAGGGAUGUGGAAUUCCAGGUGUAGCGGUGAAAUGCGUAGAUAUCUGGAGGACACCGGUGCGAAGGCGGCAUCCUGGACUGUAUCUGACACUGAGGAACGAA